UCAGUGUGGGCUUUUUAGCCUGGCAAAUUGUUAGCCUCCCGUGAAAAUAGAUUGCGGUGACAGUUUGUCGGCGUGAUGUAAUUUUUUCGAUGCAUGUUUUGACGGUUUUGGACAUGUUACCAUUGGAGUGUGUGGUGGCAUACAGUGAAGGCAGAGCAUAGUUAAUGCGAUUUAGUAGCAUUAACAUCCAUGUUUCAUACCUUGCCUAUUUGCGUUAUUAGCAAGUUUAAUAUGUAAUGCAAGUUGAACGCGACUGGUUUUGUGGAGGUGAUUGUAUUUUUGGAGCAGAGCUAUUGUGAGAAGACUAUGUGCUAUCUGUAGCAAGUGUUCUGCUUGCGAGAAGAAGAUUGAGUGGUGUCUACAACAGGGUUUCUUCAGUCGUGGUGCAUGUGAGACGGUUAGGUCUACAAUUGUUUGAUUCCCUUAUAGUGGGGCUUACUUGGACAUGAGCCAUUAGAGAUCUUACGGCUUUCAGCAGGCCUAUGCUUUACUGAGAGGAUAGCUUUAAUAACAACAUUGUUAACUCUCCUCAGGGGUAUUCUUUAUCACUGAGAGGGAUGAAUCCCACAGAGAAAUCAUACAAAAUAAUUUAAUCUUACACGGAUUUACAAAAUGGGAUGAACUCAUAUUAAGUGGGAGCAAUCAUGGUGACAAUGUUGUUGUCUUCAAGUCGUGCAAAAGGGAGGAGAUUUGAUAAAGAAAGAAUAUCGAAUAUGGAAAAAUGGAGGAGAUCACUGGAGUGAUGUUACAGGGAAUGUUGUUGUUGCUCACGUAUUCAAGCUUCCAGAUCCCAUGUACUUCAUUUCUUAAUAUCGAUUCUAUACCUCAAUCUAUUCAUGUGUAUAUAAGCUGUGGGAAUUGACCCACACAAAUAAACCUAUGAAGGGCUUAGCCAUGUAAGAAAAAUAUUGUUGUGGUGGCAACCACGUUAAGCAUUGCCAAUUGAGGUGUGCACUAACUAUUGUUUUUUUUCAAUAGAUAAGUGAGAGGGCUAAAUGGGACCUGCUCACUUAAAAAUCAUAGUUCACAACAAUGAAAUUAAAAUAAAA